rnacentral:rRNA from 1 species
CAUACUCCUACGGGAGGCAGCAGCGGGGAAUAUUGCGCAAUGGACGGAAGUCAGACGCAGCGACGCCGCGUGGGUGAGGAAGGCCUUCGGGUUGUAAAGCCCUUUUCAGGGGAGCGAGAAAGGACGGUACCCUUGGAAUAAGCGUCGGCUAACUACGUGCCAGCAGCCGCGGUAAGACGUAUGACGCAAGCGUUAUCCGGAUUUACUGGGCGUAAAGCGCCUGUAGGCGGUCAAGUAAGUCGGAUGUGAAAGCCCCGUGCUCAACGCGGGGAAGCCAUUCGAUACUGCGUGACUAGAGAACGGCAGAGGGAAACGGAAUUUCUGGUGUAGCGGUAAAAUGCGCAGAGAUCAGAAAGAACACCGAUGGCGAAGGCAGUUUCCUAGGCCGCAUCUGACGCUGAGAGGCGAAAGCUAGGGGAGCAAACAGGAUUAGAGACCCUGGUAGUCCUAGCUGUAAACGAUGGAUGCUAGGUGUGGGCCGGAAAGGUCCGUGCCGUAGUUAACGCGAUAAGCAUCCCGCCUGGGGAGUACGGCCGCAAGGCUAAAACUCAAACGAAUUGACGGGGACCCGCACAAGCAGCGGAGCGUGUGGUUUAAUUCGAUGCUACACGCAGAACCUUACCUGGGCUUGACAUGUAGGUGGUAGUGAAGUGAAAGCGGAGCGACCCUUCGGGGAGCCUACACAGGUGCUGCAUGGCUGUCGUCAGCUCGUGCCGUGAGGUGUCGGGUUAAGUCCCGUAACGAGCGCAACCCUUGUCCUUAGUUACAAGUGUCUAAGGAGACUGCCGGUGACAAACCGGAGGAAGGUGGGGAUGACGUCAAGUCAGCAUGGCCCUUAUGUCCAGGGCGACACACACGCUACAAUGGUCGGUACAAUGGGCAGCGCAGCCGCGAGGUGAAGCGAAUCCCAACAAAGCCGAUCCCAGUUCGGAUUGCAGGCUGCAACCCGCAUGCAUGAAGCCGGAGUUGCUAGUAACCGCGCGUCAGCCAUAGUGCGGUCAAUACGUUCCCGGGUCUGUACACACCGCCCGUCACGUCAUGGGAGUUG